rnacentral:rRNA from 1 species
AGUCGAACGAUGAAGCCCUUCGGGGUGGAUUAGUGGCGAACGGGUGAGUAACACGUGGGCAAUCUGCCCUUCACUCUGGGACAAGCCCUGGAAACGGGGUCUAAUACCGGAUAACACUCCUCAGAGCAUUUUGAGGGGUUAAAAGCUCCGGCGGUGAAGGAUGAGCCCGCGGCCUAUCAGCUUGUUGGUGGGGUAAUGGCCUACCAAGGCGACGACGGGUAGCCGGCCUGAGAGGGCGACCGGCCACACUGGGACUGAGACACGGCCCAGACUCCUACGGGAGGCAGCAGUGGGGAAUAUUGCACAAUGGGCGAAAGCCUGAUGCAGCGACGCCGCGUGAGGGAUGACGGCCUUCGGGUUGUAAACCUCUUUCAGCAGGGAAGAAGCGAAAGUGACGGUACCUGCAGAAGAAGCGCCGGCUAACUACGUGCCAGCAGCCGCGGUAAUACGUAGGGCGCAAGCGUUGUCCGGAAUUAUUGGGCGUAAAGAGCUCGUAGGCGGCUUGUCACGUCG